AGUGAACGCUGGCGGUAGGCCUAACACAUGCAAGUCGAACGGCAGCACAGUAAGAGCUUGCUCUUACGGGUGGCGAGUGGCGGACGGGUGAGGAAUACAUCGGAAUCUACUUUUUCGUGGGGGAUAACGUAGGGAAACUUACGCUAAUACCGCAUACGACCUACGGGCGAAAGCAGGGGAUCUUCGGACCUUGCGCGAUUGAAUGAGCCGAUGUCGGAUUAGCUAGUUGGCGGGGUAAAGGCCCACCAAGGCGACGAUCCGUAGCUGGUCUGAGAGGAUGAUCAGCCACACUGGAACUGAGACACGGUCCAGACUCCUACGGGAGGCAGCAGUGGGGAAUAUUGGACAAUGGGCGCAAGCCUGAUCCGGCCAUACCGCGUGGGUGAAGAAGGCCUUCGGGUUGUAAAGCCCUUUUGUUGGGAAAGAAAAGCAGCAGGUUAAUACCCCGCUGUUCUGACGGUACCCAAAGAAUAAGCACCGGCUAACUUCGUG
rnacentral:rRNA from 1 species